UACAGAGGUGGCAAGCGUUGUUCGGAAUUACUGGGCGUAAAGGGCGCGUAGGCGGUCUUGUAAGUUCCGUGUGAAAUCCCUCGGCUCAACUGAGGAACCGCACGGAAAACUGCUUGGCUUGAGUUCGGGAGAGGGAAGCGGAAUUCCGGGUGUAGCGGUGAAAUGCGUAGAUAUCCGGAGGAACACCGGUGACGAAGGCGGCUUCCUGGACCGACACUGACGCUGAGGCGCGAAAGCUAGGGGAGCAAACGGG
rnacentral:rRNA from 1 species